rnacentral:rRNA from 1 species
AUUGAACGCUGGCGGCAGGCUUAACACAUGCAAGUCGAACGCCCCGCAAGGGGAGUGGCAGACGGGUGAGUAACACGUGGGAACGUACCCUUUGGUUCGGAAUAACUUGGGGAAACUCAAGCUAAUACCGGAUAAGCCCUUAUGGGGAAAGGUUUACUGCCGAAGGAUCGGCCCGCGUCUGAUUAGCUAGUUGGUGAGGUAAUGGCUCACCAAGGCGACGAUCAGUAGCUGGUCUGAGAGGAUGAUCAGCCACACUGGGACUGAGACACGGCCCAGACUCCUACGGGAGGCAGCAGUGGGAAAUAUUGGACAAUGGGGGCAACCCUGAUCCAGCCAUGCCGCGUGAGUGAUUAAGGCCUUAGGGUUGUAAAGCUCUUUUACCCGGGACGAUAAUGACUGUACCGGGAGAAUAAGCCCCGGCUAACUUCGUGCCAGCAGCCGCAGUAA